GACAGAGGGUGCAAACGUUGCUCGGAAUUACUGGGCGUAAAGCGCGUGUAGGCUGACCUUCAAGUCAGACGUGAAAUCCCCCGGCUUAACCUGGGAACUGCGUCUGAUACUGGGAGGCUUGAGUAUGGGAGAGGGAUGUAGAAUUCCAGGUGUAGCGGUGAAAUGCGUAGAUAUCUGGAGGAAUACCGGUGGCGAAGGCGGCAUCCUGGACCAUUACUGACGCUUAAGCGCGAAAGCUAGGGGGAGCAAACAGG
rnacentral:rRNA from 1 species